GUGUCAGCAGCCGCGGUAACACGUAGGGGGCGAGCGUUGUCCGGAUUUAUUGGGCGUAAAGAGCUCGUAGGCGGCUCAGUAAGUCGGGUGUGAAAUUUCAGGGCUCAACCCUGAAACGCCACCCGAUACUGCUGUGGCUAGAGUCCGGUAGGGGAGCGUGGAAUUCCUGGUGUAGCGGUGAAAUGCGCAGAUAUCAGGAGGAACACCAGCGGCGAAGGCGGCGCUCUGGGCCGGAACUGACGCUGAGGAGCGAAAGCAUGGGUAGCGAACAGGAUUAGAAACCCGCGUAGUCC
rnacentral:rRNA from 1 species